rnacentral:lncRNA from 1 species
GGGAAGAUUACAGUUUGAAUUAAUAUUCAGACGCACUUCAGGGCCCUCUUCCCAUCCGUUCCCCCGCCCCCCAACCUAUGACCCUCCUCUGAGAGCCCACUAGUUGUUCAGCGAAAUGGGAAAUGGUGCGCCUCUGCCGGCCAUCUUCGGAGGUCAGGAUCCAUUCAGUGGUUUUGACCCAUUUGUCAGCUUUUGAAGGUUGCAACAGCUUUUGUUUGGUGUCCAGAGUUUCCAGCCCCCUCCCCACCCCCUCACCCCCAAAACUCUGAGUAAGUAAUACAACUUAACGGUGGGGCAUGUGGCCAAUGCUGAGCUGGGGAGGGAAGAGUGGAACUGUGGGGAUGUGGCCAGGAGGAAAUAAGAGCAAAUUCCUCCGAAACGAUCUGACAGGAAAUGACAGCGCAUCGGCCUCCCCUCGCAGAGGGAGCGAGCCUCCGAGAGGGGAGAAGUCCUUCCUAAUCACAGAGCAGUGCCAGAGCGCAGUAGGAAUGGUGGCUGCUACAUGCAGUUUUAGAUCAAUCUACUAUAGUCAUGCUGCCCUGAGACCCAAAUAAUUCCUCUGUGAACUCUGGACACUCCGAAGCACCUUCAUGUUCACACAUUUGGAGAGCCUGUCAGCCUCUUGGGCCUCCAGUCUGCAUCUCUACUGAUCAUCCCAUUCUAUCCAUUACUCCUGGGAUGAGAGAAGCCUCCUUGCGAAGUCGGAGGAGGAGAAAGACUGUGGAUAAUCAUACUUUUAAUUUUUUAUCUCCAUCAGAGUAAAUAACUUUCUAAAAUACAUGAAUAUGAUCCUAUGAAUCUUUCUAAUCUGAAAGCAAUGCUGAGAGUCUAGUCAUUGGCAUAUAUUGCUGUGGCAAAUUUAUUUUUUUCAAAUAUACUAUUUGCUGUCAAGCCCACUGGCAGCAUGAUAGAAUGAUUACUUUAUUGUUAUUUGUUGUUUUUAAAUUACUAUAGCAAUCUACAUUAAGAAACCUACCGAAGCCUAUAUUUCUCUUUUUAUUGAACCAUCAGAAGGGAUUGAAAUUAAUUUCAAAUCAUUUCUUAAAAAGAACAUUCAAUGCUUCCUUGUUAUUCACUACUUGGUUGACAAAGACAAAUUCUGUUUUGAAAUACUGUGUGACAUUACUUGGUACUGUUUUCCUAUCAAGAAAAAGUGCACCUAUUUUUCUGUUUAAUGAACUAAGAUAACUGAAGGCUAUAGCACUCGAUACAUCUUGUGGCUUUUAUGAUAUUGUCCAAUUUUCACAUGAUUCAUAAUUUACAACUCAAAUAGAGAAGGCAGGGGUGGGCAUGCAUGGAAAUUGCAAAUCUGUUGGGUAGUACUUUUGAGUGUAGAGACUUGAUAAUAAUUAAAAUGAGAGGUUCCAAGCUUUUCCCCAAGUGUGCAUCAAACUGGCAGCAAAGACAAGUCUGCUCCACCUCCAUCACUACUGAAGAGAAAAAGCCCACAAACCCCGCCACGGCCGGCAAAGUCGGCGUUUGCUGCCCUCUCCCCACUGCUUCCUUUGAAUUCCCACCCUUCUCUACAUGACAGCCCAGAGUCCGGCUCCCACCUCUUCCUUGGACCUUUCUUUUCUCAUAAUGGCUGUGAUGUCUAACCACCCACCAAAAGUUUGUGCCCCCCCUUUCACAGUGCCCUGGGGAAUGGGUGCCCGGUGUCUACAUUCCCCAGCUUCACUUGCAUCUGGGCAGACUCUUAGACUAGCUCUUACCAACGAUCUGUUCAUAGUAGGUAUGUCUAUUCUUGGCUACAGUUUUUUUUUUUUAAUUCAUUAACAAAUAUUUAUUCAAUGUACAAUUUAUCACUGGUUACAAAUCCAAGCCAGUCUUUUUAUUAUUAUCUUAUUAUCCUGUGGCUCUAGCAUCCAGAGUCCUCUGCAGUCAUCUUAUUUAUAGUGAUGCAUUUUAAUUUUUUAGUUUUUCAGUAUUCUAAUUUUAUUGGAGUAUAGUGGAUUUACAAUGCUGUGUUAGUUGUCAGAGAAAGACAGAUGUCCUAUGAUAUAUCACUCAUAUGUGGAUUCUAAUUUCAAAAAAAGAUACAGAUGAACUUAUUUACAAAAUAAAAGUAGACUUAUAGAUAUUGAAAACA